rnacentral:misc_RNA from 1 species
UUUAUUUUCUUUUAGACUUCAGAGGCCACAGACAGAAGAGCUUAUAGGGGGCCUUCGGCGGGCGGACGCGAGCCCGCCCUGGGGCCGCCCGCCGAGGCAACGGAGUAUAGACGACAGAAGGGUUGGGAGUUUUGCAACUCUGUAAUGAUCCCUCCGCUGGUUCACCAACGGAGA